rnacentral:rRNA from 1 species
CACCUACGGGAGGCUGCAGUGGGGAAUAUUGGACAAUGGGCGCAAGCCUGAUCCAGCCAUGCCGCGUGUGUGAAGAAGGCCUUCGGGUUGUAAAGCACUUUUGUUCGGGAAGAAAUCGUGCGGAUUAAUACUUCGUACGGAUGACGGUACCGAAAGAAUAAGCACCGGCUAACUUCGUGCCAGCAGCCGCGGUAAUACGAAGGGUGCAAGCGUUACUCGGAAUCACUGGGCGUAAAGCGUGCGUAGGCGGUUCGUUAAGUCUGCUGUGAAAGCCCUGGGCUCAACCUGGGAACUGCAGUGGAUACUGGCGGGCUAGAGUGUGAUAGAGGAUGGUGGAAUUCCCGGUGUAGCGGUGAAAUGCGUAGAGAUCGGGAGGAACACCAGUGGCGAAGGCGGCCAUCUGGAUCAACACUGACGCUGAGGCACGAAAGCGUGGGGAGCAAACAGGAUUAGAUACCCUGGUAGUCCACGCCCUAAACGAUGCGAACUGGACGUUGGUUGCAACUUGGCAAUCAGUGUCGAAGCUAACGCGUUAAGUCGCCGC